rnacentral:rRNA from 1 species
UCAGGAUGAACGCUAGCGGCAGGCUUAACACAUGCAAGUCGAGGGGUAACAGGUAGCUUGCUAUGCUGACGACCGGCGAACGGGUGCGUAACGCGUAUAGAAUCUGCCUUGUACAGGAGGAUAGCCUUUAGAAAUGAAGAUUAAUACUCCAUAAUGUUAAUUAGAGGCAUCUCUUAUUAAUUAAACAUUUAUGGGUACAAGAUGACUAUGCGUCCUAUUAGCUAGAUGGUAAGGUAACGGCUUACCAUGGCAACGAUAGGUAGGGGGUCUGAGAGGAUUAUCCCCCACACUGGUACUGAGACACGGACCAGACUCCUACGGGAGGCAGCAGUGAGGAAUAUUGGUCAAUGGAGGCAACUCUGAACCAGCUAUGCCGCGUGCAGGAAGACUGCCCUAUGGGUUGUAAACUGCUUUUAUACAGGAAGAAACAGUAGUACGUGUACUACCUUGACGGUACUGUAAGAAUAAGGACCGGCUAACUCCGUGCCAGCAGCCGCGGUAAUACGGAGGGUCCAAGCGUUAUCCGGAAUCAUUGGGUUUAAAGGGUCCGCAGGCGGUCAAUUAAGUCAGAGGUGAAAGCCCAUCGCUCAACGAUGGAACUGCCUUUGAUACUGGUUGACUUGAGUUAUACGGAAGUAGAUAGAAUAAGUAGUGUAGCGGUGAAAUGCAUAGAUAUUACUUAGAAUACCGAUUGCGAAGGCAGUCUACUACGUAUAUACUGACGCUCAUGGACGAAAGCGUGGGGAGCGAACAGGAUUAGAUACCCUGGUAGUCCACGCCGUAAACGAUGGAUACUAGUUGUUGGGUUUCGACUCAGUGACUAAGCGAAAGUGAUAA